rnacentral:rRNA from 1 species
AGAUUGAACGCUGGCGGCAUGCCUAACACAUGCAAGUCGAACGGGAGUAGCAAUACUCUAGUGGCGGACGGGUGAGGAAUACGUAGGAAUUUGCCCUUAAGUGGGGGAUAACCCGGGGAAACCCGGAUUAAUACCGCAUGACCUCGAAAGAGCAAAGUGGGGAUCGCAAGACCUCACGCUUUUGGAGAAGCCUACGUCGGAUUAGCUAGUUGGUGAGGUAAUGGCUCGACCAAGGCGACGAUCCGUAACGUGGUCUGAGAGGAUGAUCGAGUCACACCGGAACUGAGACACGGUCCGACUCCGUACGGGAGCAGCGAGUGGGAACUAUUAGGACAAGUGGCG